rnacentral:rRNA from 1 species
GAUGAACGCUGGCGGCGUGCCUAACACAUGCAAGUCGAGCGGCAGCGCGAGUAGUUUACUACUUGGCGGCGAGCGGCGAACGGUUGAGUAACGCGUGGGAAUUUGCCCCAAAGUGAGGAAUAACUGCCCGAAAGGGUGGCUAAUGCCGCAUAUGAUCUUCGGAUUAAAGGAUUUAUCCGCUUUGGGAGAAGCCCGCGUCGGAUUAGGUAGUUGGUGAGGUAAUAGCUCACCAAGCCGACGAUCCGUAGCUGGUCUGAGAGGAUGACCAGCCAGACUGGAACUGAGACACGGUCCAGACUCCUACGGGAGGCAGCAGUGAGGAAUCUUCCACAAUGGGCGAAAGCCUGAUGGAGCAACGCCGCGUGCAGGAUGAAGGCCUUCGGGUUGUAAACUGCUUUUAUAAGUGAGGAAUAUGACGGUAGCUUA